rnacentral:rRNA from 1 species
CCUACAGGUGGCAGCAGUGAGGAAUAUUGGACAAUGGGCGAGAGCCUGAUCCAGCCAAGUCGCGUGAGGGAAGACGGUCCUAGGUAUGGUAAACCUCAUUAGCCGGGGAGCAAUUCCCGGCACCUGUGCCCGAAGGGAGAGUACCCUCAGAAUCAGCAUCGGCAAACUUCGGUCCAGCAGCCGCGGUAAUAGGGAGGAUUCGAGAGUUAUCCGGAUUUAUUGGGGUUAAAGGGUGCGUAGGCGGACGGUUAAGUCAGCGGUCAAAUGUCGGUGCUCAACACCGGACUGCCGUUGAAACUGGUCUUCUUGAGUGAGCGAGAAGUAGGCGGAAUGCGUGGUGUAGCGGUGAAAUGCAUAGAUAUCACGCAGAACUCCGAUUGCGAAGGCAGCAUACCGGCGCUCAACUGACGCUGAGGCACGAAAGCGUGGGGAUCGAACAGGAUUAGAUACCCUAGUAGUC